UACGUAGGGGGCUAGCGUUGUCCGGAUUUAUUGGGCGUAAAGAGCUCGUAGGUGGUUCGGUAAGUCGGAUGUGAAAUCUCCAGGCUCAACCUGGAGGGGUCAUUCGAUACUGCCGUGACUAGAGUUCGGUAGAGGAGUGUGGAAUUCCAGGUGUAGCGGUGAAAUGCGUAGAUAUCUGGAGGAACACCGGUGGCGAAGGCGGCAUCCUGGACCGACACUGACGCUGAGGAGCGAAAGCCAGGGGAGCAAACGGG
rnacentral:rRNA from 1 species